UACGUAGGGUGCAAGCGUUGUCCGGAAUUAUUGGGCGUAAAGAGCUCGUAGGUGGUCUGUUGCGUCGGCUGUGAAAUCCCGAGGCUCAACCUCGGGCCUGCAGCCGAUACGGGCAGACUAGAGUUCGGCAGGGGAGACUGGAAUUCCUGGUGUAGCGGUGAAAUGCGUAGAUAUCAGGAGGAACACCUGUGGUGUAGACGGCUUUCUGGACCGUAGCUGACGCUGAGACACGAAAGCGUGGGUAGCAAACAGG
rnacentral:rRNA from 1 species